UCACAGCUGUACGGCUUCUCUCCAGUGUGAACGUGUUGAUGUCUUUUUAGGUAGCUCUGUCGUGUGAAAGCUGCCCCACAUUGAUCACAGCUGUAGGGCUUCUCUCCAGUGUGAAUGCAUUGAUGUAUUUUUAGGUCACUCUGUCGUGUGAAAGCUGACCCACAUUGAUCACAGCUGUACGGCUUCUCUCCAGUGUGAAUGCGUUGAUGUCUUUUUAGGUCACUCCGUCGUGUGAAAGCUGUCCCACAUUGAUCACAGCUGUACGGUUUCUCUCCAGUGUGAA